rnacentral:rRNA from 1 species
GAGCUGGAAGCGUGCUUAUCGCGUGCAAGUCGAGCGGUGAGGCCCUUCGGGGUACACCAGCGGCGAACGGGUGAGAAACACGUGGGUGACCUGCCCUCAGCUCUGGGAUAAGCCCGGGAAACUGGGUCUAAUACCGGAUAUGACCUCUCAACGCAUGUUGGGUGGUGGAAAGUUUUUUCGGCUGGGGAUGGGCCCGCGGCCUAUCAGCUUGUUGGUGGGGUGAUGGCCUACCAAGGCGGUGACGGUUAGCCGGCCUGAGAGGGCGACCGGCCACACUGGGACUGAGACACGGCCCAGACUCCUACGGGAGGCAGCAGUGGGGAAUAUUGCGCAAUGGGCGGAAGCCUGACGCAGCGACGCCGCGUGGGGGAUGACGGCCUUCGGGUUGUAAACCUCUUUCGCCAGGGACGAAGCUUUUGUGACGGUACCUGGAGAAGAAGCACCGGCCAACUACGUGCCAGCAGCCGCGGUAACACGUAGGGUGCGAGCGUUGUCCGGAAUUAUUGGGCGUAAAGAGCUCGUAGGCGGUGUGUCACGUCGGCCGUGAAAACCUGGGGCUUAACUCUGGGCGUGCGGUCGAUACGGGCAUCACUGGAGUUCGGCAGGGGAGACUGGAAUUCCUGGUGCAGCGGUGAAAUGCGCAGAUAUCAGGAGGAACACCGGUGGCGAAGGCGGGUCUCUGGGCCGAUACUGACGCUGAGGAGCGAAAGCGUGGGGAGCGAACAGGAUUAGAUACCCUGGUAGUCCACGCCGUAAACGUUGGGCGCUAGGUGUGGGGACCAUUCCACGGUUUCUGUGCCGCAGCUAACGCAUUAAGCGCCCCGCCUGGGGAGUACGGCCGCAAGGCUAAAACUCAAAGGUAUUGACGGGGGCCCGCACAAGCGGCGGAGCAUGGUGGAUUAAUUCGAUGCAACGCGAAGAACCUUACCUGGGUUUGACAUGCACCAGAUUGCGGGCAGAGAUGUCGUUUCCCCUGGGGGUUAGGUUUGAAGGUGGGUG